rnacentral:rRNA from 1 species
CCCUUAGAUGUUCUGGGCCGCACACGCGCUACAAUGGCAAAGUCAACGAGUUGAUCCUAUGCUGACAAGCACAGGUAAUCUUUUCAGUCUUUGUCGUGAUGGGGAUAGACCCUUGUAAUUAUUGGUCUCCAACGAGGAAUUCCUAGUAAACGCAAGUCAUCAACUUGCAUUGAUUACGUCCCUGCCCUUUGUACACACCGCCCGUCGCACCUACCGAUUGAAUGGUCCGGUGAAGUCUUCGGACCGAUGCUGGUUCGUUGGCAACGGAAAGUUGAGUAAACCUUACCAUUUAGAGGAAGGUGAAGUCGUAACA